CGCCGUGGACCAAUGAGUUGCGGCACAGAAGCCGGUUCCGGCCUGCCCUGGGGCGUCGGUCAGCCUGCAGCCAGGGGACUCCGGAACUGUGGUCCUCUGAGGCCGGGGCUUCUGGCUCCGGAACAGCUCCCUUUCAUCCCGGAACUGCUAGUGGCCCAGGUUAAGCUAAAGCCUCGUAGUACCUUUCCAGAGAACAGAGGAAUGUGACCCUGGCCAUCUGUGAGGACAGAUUAUAAAAAAGUGAGCAAGCAACGACCUUCACUCAGCAAAAAGAAUGACCAGACUCUUGUCUUCGAGAUAGUGUUUCUUGGCAACCAACCUAGAUGGCCUCAAUCCUUCUGAGUAGACGCUGACCUCCAGCCAAAAGCCCGAAGCCCCGGUCAUUCAAGGAUGAGCUAACCACCCCCACCUUCAAUUGCAGCCGCAUCCACACUUGGCAGGACUGGCCAAGCUUGAGCACCUAAGACUAACCAGUCAUCUCACUUUAUAGCUUCCUCAUCCAAUCCUGAAUUGCCAAGACUGCAACCCCUAAAAAUUCCGGUGCUUUGUCCUUUAAAAUCCCCAGGCCUUUGUCUCCCAGUGCCACUCCUUGCUGACCAGCAGGGGUGACCCCAUUGCGCAAUGGUCAGAAUAAACCUCUUGCGAUUUUGCAUCGAUGAGA